AACGAACGCUGGCGGCAGGCUUAACACAUGCAAGUCGAGCGCCGUAGCAAUACGGAGCGGCAGACGGGUGAGUAACGCGUGGGAAUCUACCCAUCACUACGGAACAACUCCGGGAAACUGGAGCUAAUACCGUAUACGUCCUUCGGGAGAAAGAUUUAUCGGUGAUGGAUGAGCCCGCGUUGGAUUAGCUAGUUGGUGGGGUAAUGGCCCACCAAGGCGACGAUCCAUAGCUGGUCUGAGAGGAUGAUCAGCCACACUGGGACUGAGACACGGCCCAGACUCCUACGGGAGGCAGCAGUGGGGAAUAUUGGACAAUGGGCGCAAGCCUGAUCCAGCCAUGCCGCGUGAGUGAUGAAGGCCCCAGGGUUGUAAAGCUCUUUCACCGGUGAAGAUAAUGACGGUAACCGGAGAAGAAGCCCCGGCUAACUUCGUGCCAGCAGCCGCCGUAACAC
rnacentral:rRNA from 1 species